rnacentral:rRNA from 1 species
UAGCUAGUUGGUGAGGUAAAGGCUCACCAAGGCGACGAUCUGUAGCGGGUCUGAGAGGAUGAUCCGCCACACUGGAACUGAGACACGGUCCAGACUCCUACGGGAGGCAGCAGUGGGGAAUUUUGGACAAUGGGCGCAAGCCUGAUCCAGCCAUGCCGCGUGAGUGAAGAAGGCCUUCGGGUUGUAAAGCUCUUUCAGCCGGGAAGAAAACGCAUGGGUUAAUACCCUGUGUGGAUGACGGUACCGGAAUAAGAAGCACCGGCUAACUACGUGCCAGCAGCCGCGGUAAUACGUAGGGUGCGAGCGUUAAUCGGAAUUACUGGGCGUAAAGCGUGCGCAGGCGGUUUGUCAAGAUAGGCGUGAAAUCCCCGGGCUCAACCUGGGAACUGCGUUUAUGACUGGCAAGCUAGAUAUGGCAGAGGGGGGUGGAAUUCCACGUGUAGCAGUGAAAUGCGUAGAGAUGUGGAGGAACACCGAUGGCGAAGGCAGCCCCCUGGGCCAAUACUGACGCUCAUGCACGAAAGCGUGGGUAGCAAACAGGAUUAGAUACCCUGGUAGUCCACGCCCUAAACGAUGUCAACUAGGUGUUGGGAGGGUAAAACCUUUUAGUACCGGAGCUAACGCGUGAAGUUGACCGCCUGGGGAGUACGGCCGCAAGGUUAAAACUCAAAGGAAUUGACGGGGACCCGCACAAGCGGUGGAUGAUGUGGAUUAAUUCGAUGCAACGCGAAAAACCUUACCUACCCUUGACAUGUCCGGAAGCCCUUAGAGAUUUGGGUGUGCUCGAAAGAGAGCCGGAACACAGGUGCUGCAUGGCUGUCGUCAGCUCGUGUCGUGAGAUGUUGGGUUAAGUCCCGCAACGAGCGCAACCCUUGCCGUUAAUUGCCAUCAUUUAGUUGGGCACUUUAACGAGACUGCUGGUGACAAACCGGAGGAAGGUGGGGAUGACGUCAAGUCCUCAUGGCCCUUAUGGGUAGGGCUUCACACGUCAUACAAUGGUCGGUACAAAGGGUCGCCAACCCGCGAGGGGGAGCCAAUCCCAGAAAGCCGAUCGUAGUCCGGAUCGUAGGCUGCAACUCGCCUGCGUGAAGUCGGAAUCGCUAGUAAUCGUGGAUCAGCAUGUCACGGUGAAUACGUUCCCGGGUCUUGUACACACCGCCCGUCACACCAUGGGAGCGGGUUCCGCCAGAAGUAGGUAGCCUAACCGCAAGGAGGGCGCUUACCACGGCGG